GAUGAACGCUGGCGGUGUGCCUAAUACAUGCAAGUCGAGCGGCAGGACGAGAAGAUCGCUCUCUUGCUGUUAGCGGCGGACGGGCGGGUAAGGAGUGGAUCAGAUUCUUCUUUUACUGGGGUGACUACGGGGGACAGGUGAUGCUAAUAGCUCAUAUUAUGUACCGGUUGGUGCAAGAGUGCAUGAGGGUUUUGGCGUUUGAUUUAGCUGGAUUCGGGCUGUAUUAGCUAGUUGGUAAGGUCACGGCCUACCAAGGACACGAUGCGUAGCUGACCUGAGAGGGUGAUCGGCCACACUGGAACUGAGACACGGUCCAGACUCCUACGGGAGGCAGCAGUGGGGAAUAUUGGACAAUGGGCGAAAGCCUGACGCAGCAAUGCCGCGUGAGUGAAGAAGGUCUUCGGAUCGUAAAGCUCUUUUGUUGGGAAAGAACAGAAGUAGAAUAAACUGUGCACAUCUUGACGGUACCUAAACAAAAAGCCACGGCUAACUACGUG
rnacentral:rRNA from 1 species